ACUAGUGCACCGGAUUUAAACCCCGUCUAUGGAUAUACUCCCAUUGCCAAUGUCAAUUCAA
rnacentral:tRNA from 1 species